GACGAACGCUGGCGGCGUGCUUAACACAUGCAAGUCGAACGGAAAGGCCCUGCUUUUGUGGGGUGCUCGAGUGGCGAACGGGUGAGUAACACGUGAGUAACCUGCCCUUGACUUUGGGAUAACUUCAGGAAACUGGGGCUAAUACCGGAUAGGAGCUCCUGCUGCAUGGUGGGGGUUGGAAAGUUUCGGCGGUUGGGGAUGGACUCGCGGCUUAUCAGCUUGUUGGUGGGGUAGUGGCUUACCAAGGCUUUGACGGGUAGCCGGCCUGAGAGGGUGACCGGCCACAUUGGGACUGAGAUACGGCCCAGACUCCUACGGGAGGCAGCAGUGGGGAAUAUUGCACAAUGGGCGGAAGCCUGAUGCAGAAACGCCGCGUGCGGGAUGACGGCCUUCGGGUUGUAGGCCGCUUUCGCCUGUGACGAAGCGUGAGUGACGGUAAUGGGUAAAGAAGCACCGGCUAACUACGUG
rnacentral:rRNA from 1 species